rnacentral:rRNA from 1 species
UACGGGGGGGGUAAGCGUUGUUCGGAAUUACUGGGCGUAAAGGGCUCGUAGGCGGCCAACUAAGUCAGACGUGAAAUCCCUCGGCUUAACCGGGGAACUGCGUCUGAUACUGGAUGGCUUGAGUGUGGGAGAGGGAUGCGGAAUUCCAGGUGUAGCGGUGAAAUGCGUAGAUAUCUGGAGGAACACCGGUGGCGAAGGCGGCAUCCUGGACCAUUACUGACGCUGAUGAGCGAAAGCCAGGGGAGCAAACGGG